UUAGAGUUUGAUCCUGGCUCAGAUUGAACGCUGGCGGCAGGCUUAACACAUGCAAGUCGAGCGGAGAUGAGGUGCUUGCACCUUAUCUUAGCGGCGGACGGGUGAGUAAUGCUUAGGAAUCUGCCUAUUAGUGGGGGACAACAUUCCGAAAGGGAUGCUAAUACCGCAUACGUCCUACGGGAGAAAGCAGGGGAUCUUCGGACCUUGCGCUAAUAGAUGAGCCUAAGUCGGAUUAGCUAGUUGGUGGGGUAAAGGCCUACCAAGGCGACGAUCUGUAGCGGGUCUGAGAGGAUGAUCCGCCACACUGGGACUGAGACACGGCCCAGACUCCUACGGGAGGCAGCAGUGGGGAAUAUUGGACAAUGGGGGGAACCCUGAUCCAGCCAUGCCGCGUGUGUGAAGAAGGCCUUAUGGUUGUAAAGCACUUUAAGCGAGGAGGAGGCUACUGAGACUAAUACUCUUGGAUAGUGGACGUUACUCGCAGAAUAAGCACCGGCUAACUCUGAGCCAGCAGCCGCGGUAAUACAGAGGGUGCGAGCGUUAAUCGGAUUUACUGGGCGUAAAGCGUGCGUAGGCGGCUUUUUAAGUCGGAUGUGAAAUCCCCGAGCUCAACUUGGGAAUUGCAUUCGAUACUGGGAAGCUAGAGUAUGGGAGAGGAUGGUAGAAUUCCAGGUGUAGCGGUGAAAUGCGUAGAGAUCUGGAGGAAUACCGAUGGCGAAGGCAGCCAUCUGGCCUAUACUGACGCUGAGGUACGAAAGCAUGGGGAGCAAACAGGAUUAGAUACCCUGGUAGUCCAUGCCGUAAACGGUGUCUACUAGCCGUUGGGGCCUUUGAGGCU
rnacentral:rRNA from 1 species